rnacentral:rRNA from 1 species
UACAGGGGGGGCAAGCGUUGUUCGGAAUUACUGGGCGUAAAGGGCUCGUAGGCGGCCAACUAAGUCCGACGUGAAAUCCCAAGGCUUAACUUUGGAACUGCGUCGGAUACUGGAUGGCUUGAAUUCGGGAGAGGGAUGCAGAGUUCCAGGUGUAGCGGUGAAAUGCGCAGAUAUCAGGAGGAACACCGAUGGCGAAGGCAGGUCCCUGGGCAUUAACUGACGCUGAGGAGCGAAAGCAUGGGGAGCGAACAGG